rnacentral:rRNA from 1 species
ACCUGGCUCACACCGGUUUAAACUCAGAUCAUGUAAAAUUUUAAAGGUCGAACAGACCUAAUUUAUUAGCUUCUCCACCAACAAUUAAUUUUAAUCCAACAUCGAGGUCGCAAUCUUUUAUUUCGAUUAGAACUCUAAAAAAAAUUACGCUGUUAUCCCUAAGGUAAUUUAAUCUUAUAAUCUAUAUUUUAGGAUCAUAAACUCAUAAAUUAAUGAUUUUAUAAAAAAAAAGUUAAUUAAAUUUUUUCAUCACCCCAACAAAAUAUUUUUUUUAGCUAAUUUAAUAAUUUUAUCUAUAAAUUAAAUUAACCUUAAAAUAUAAAACUCUAUAGGGUCUUCUCGUCUUCUAUAAACAUUUAAGCUUUUUAACUUAAAAAUAAAAUUCUAAUAAAUUUUUAUAGAGACAGAAACUUUUUCAUCAAACCUUUCAUUCCAGCUUUCAAUUAAAAAACUAAUGAUUAUGCUACCUUUGCACGGUUAAUAUACCGCGGCCAUUAAACUUCUCAUUGGGCAGGUCA